rnacentral:rRNA from 1 species
CCUACGGGUGGCAGCAGUGGGGAAUAUUGGGCAAUGGGCGCAAGCCUGACCCAGCAACGCCGCGUGAAGGAAGAAGGCUUUCGGGUUGUAAACUUCUUUUUUUAGGGACGAAGCAAGUGACGGUACCUGAGGAAUAAGCCUAGGCUAACUACGUGCAAGCAGCCGCGGUAAUACGUAGGCGGCAAGCGUUAUCCGGAUUUACUGGGUGUAAAGGGCGUGUAGGCGGGACUGCAAGUCAGAUGUGAAAACCAUGGGCUCAACCUAUGGCCUGCAUUUGAAACUGUAGUUCUUGAGUACUGGAGAGGCAGACGGAAUUCCUGGUGUAGCGGUAAAAUGCGUAGAUAUAAGGAAGAACACCAGUGGCGAAGGCGGCCGCCUGGCCUGUUACUGACGCUGAGGCACGAAAGCGUGGGGAGCAAAUAGGAUUAGAUACCCUUGUAGUC